GAAGCACCCAAACUGAUGGCUUGCAGCUGUAGUGAGGACUCGCAUGCAUCGCAAUACUAUACAGCAAAAGAUUCAACAAGACUCUUCUCCAAAUGUUUAUGAUGUAAUAUCUUGAGGAGAAAUUCCUCAGUGUCCUACAGACAUGUCCAACCUGGCCACAGCUCCUCGACUGAUGAUGCAGCCUAUGAAAGAUGAAAACUCCUGGUUUCAUCAUGACAGAGUGAAAUCAUAAGAGUGAGGUACAGAGGAAGUGAACAGAAUGUGUGUAAGAAGAGGAGAAGACCGGUGCAGCAUUGAUGAAGCUGCAUGUCUGACACACUGUUGCCUCUCUGUUAAAUGAUAAAUAUUUCAGGACGCCCUGGUAAGUGAACCAGUACAGGUAAGCUCAUGCACAAGCAGGAGUAGUAGGCUGAAAGUGGAAGCACAAGCAAACAAACACUCCAACACACGGUGGAUCAGUUUGUGAUGUGAUCCACCAGGGGACAUGGGAAAUGUAUUCAGCUAAUGAUAUCAAGGGAGCAGCAACAUUUGCAUUGCAAAAUAUCACAGAAAAAUGUUCAAACUCACUGUCACCUUGGUAUACACGUCACCUUUUAAAGCGUCUAAUGGAGCAAUGCUACAGGAAAAGCUCAAUUCACCCCCCUGAGUUCACCCCAGAGGAGUUAGUGGUGUGUAGAAGGUGUGUGAUUGGUUCAUUACACGGCCAAUUAUGCCGAACUAACCUACACCAGACAUGUGAGCAGCAAACCCGUGGUCCUGCAAGGAUAACAAGACGAGAACUACACUGCACAGGACUUACAUGAAGACAAGAAGGUUAUCUUUGGGUUUUUUUCAUAUUUUUUCAUAAAUGUGCUUCCUGAGACGCCAUUUUUAAAAGAGUUAAAUAUCCAGUAAGAAUUCACCCUUUACAUAAUCACAUGCAUCCAGGGAUUCAUAAGCAAGCAGACUCAUUUAAUUCAUUAUGUGUUAUCUCAAACCUGUUCACAUGAAAAACUUACUUUGUUGUUUUGCACCAGAAUGUCAAACAUCUUAAUGUAAAAAUGUCCAGAUGCCAUUUUGGUGGAUGCUUUGAUUCAAGUGAUUUCUUGCUCCAUGUGAAAAUGUAAAUUAAAAGGACACACAUCAGAGAGAGAGACAUGGGUUAGAAACACUGAUUGCAACAAACAGAGUGGGAGGGGUGGUCACAGUUUGGCACCUGCCAGAGAUGCUAACACGCAGAACUCUGGAGGUCCAGUAUAUAAACAAUCUGAGUUAAACAGGAUUAGAUUAUCACGAGCAACAUAUUCCAACUGUAUAUGAAAAAGCCUCAUCUUGGGAACAAUUAAAAGUCUGUCCUUGAAAUAUAUAUAUAUAUAACGCAAAGACUUGGAUGAAGAAAAAGGUUACAAAAUGCAAGACAAUAAAAAGUCCCAUUUCUCUUUACUGCACAUUUUCUGCGGUCAAAUAUGAAAACAGAAAAAGGUGGGUCUGAGAUAGAGUAUAUCACACUGCUGAAUUCCAUAUUGUUUAUCUCGUUUACACUAACAGUUGUACAAUAUACUGUGGCAUUAGUUUUUGGAUAUUUUAAAAUAGUUCUUAAAGAAAUAAUGUUAUAAAAUCAAAUUAAAAACUUUCUCUUCUAAUUAGCAUCUUGCUUUUAAUGACCGGCAGACUGCCGAUCGUAUACUGUACGCUGCCACUGAUUUUGGAAAUCGUGAGACCAUGAACGUCUACAGGCUUUAAGCUGCAAAACAACAUAAAGCAUUUGAUGGAGCAAACCAAAUUCAAAUUAACCUCUGGAAACCUCAUCUGAGGAUUCAUUAUCGGCAUUCUAUAAAACUUAACGAGGCCUGUUUCAGCAGCUGCUGCGGCUGGAGGAGCGCACCGGCUCUGAGACUCGGAGGCAGCCGCCUCCGCCUCCUCUGCUUCUCUGUUUUCAGCCCUCUCCCUCUAUCUAUCUGGCUCCUCUGCCCCAGAAGUCGAGCCUUUGCAUCAGCUCUUCAGAGGAGGGUGUUGGUGAAUUCUUGGCCCUCAGUUCACUCGGAUCUCCGCCUUUUUUUCCGCUCAGUCCGGAUGCUCACGGCUGCAUCCUUCGCCUCAGAGAACUUCAGCCCAUCGAUGUGCCGCUCAUCUUCCAAAGAGGCAGGCAGUUAAUGCUUUAUUUAAGUCCAAGGCCCUUCUCCAACUCAGUGACCCUCUACCCGCAACUACAGCUUGCCUGAACACAUUUUCUUUAUAUUAAUUAUUGAUCAAAGGGAUAUUCCCUAAAUCCCAGCCACCAGGUUGUGCCUGACCUUUCUUAAGUGACCUUGACCUUGACCCUUUCCCCCACAGAGGUCCAGCUGGAUUUGGUCAAAAGACCAACCAAGCAAACAGCUUACUGCUCUGUUGCCUAGCAACAAAUCUGUGAAUAUAACGUUUAUCACAGCGGGGAUUUGCAUUUAAAAUGUUGCGUGAAUUGAACUAAUUUACUUUUCUCCACUCGGUUGCUUCUGAAAAUGUUGCCCACUCAUUUUUUCCCCAUUAAACCCAUAAACCUUUUCACAUUUGACCCAGUAAUGACAUAAUUCAAUAUUUCUGAUGACUAUCUCAAAUUACAAUUAAACGUCACUGUAACCCUCCAAACUGCAAAGGAAACAAAAUGGCAAAAGCAAUAUCACAACCUCCACUCUUUCUUCUCGCUCUUCCUUCCUCCCGCUCUGUGGCGGCGGCAUCAGCGGCCAUGUGACGAGGAUGCAGAUUCUCUCAAAGCCAUUAAGUCUAAAUAUCAGUCCUGACUUUCGGAUCACAUUCUAUCUGCCUCGAUUACACUGACUACGGGUAACAACCUAUAAGAACAGUUUUGUAGAGAUGAAAACUACAAAAAGACGUCCAUAGAAAUGUAGGUUGAUAUGAUAAACGAGUAUCCCAUAAAACUCCACCCUUGUUCAAGUAUGUGACAGAUGACUAUUACUAUUAUAAUACUAAUACAAUACCAUAGUGUCCAACAUCCUGGUUAUGGCUCCGUCCACCGAGGCCUCUCUCAGUCCAGCGAGCUUGUCCCAACUAUGAUUUAUAAUUCUCUAGGAAACAACAGAUUGAUGUGAAACAUUAAUACAGUUGUACAAGCAAUAAAACUGUCCUUCAUCAUAAAUUAUAGCAUAACCACAGGCCAAAAGUGUAUUGAUAUUCCUAUAAUACAAUCCACUAACCCCCUGGACAAAAGGAAUAGUAUUUUUGUUUUGAUUUACAACGGCAGGUCAACAAUUCCUCUGGUGUUCUCAGACAAAACUAAUAGAAAUCAAUAUUUUGACAUUUAACUGUAUUUUCUUUGAGAUAUAUAUAUUAUAUAUAUAUUAUAUAUUCAUAUUCAGUGUUAUCCAUUUAUUUUUUCAUUUCAAAUAAGCACAUGGAAUUAAAUCAUGUGGAAAAAGAUGACUCGCAGUAGAAUGACUGAGUUUUGUGUUGACUCAUAUUUAUCGUCUGAUGUGUUUUUGUUUAUCCUUUGCCAGUUUGGUGGUUUUGUGAAAGCUUCCCAGAUUAAAAAGGGCUCUUUCUCAUCCUUUGCACGUAUACUUUUAGCUUCUACCUUCAGGGCAUAACAAGCAAGUGCCACAAGAAAUGUGUACAGCAUGUCAUAUUUUAUAUUUGUUCUCAUUUAUAAACUAAUGCUUACUUUUC